UUUUUGAUGCUUGAUUCGGAAAAGGUAAUCUGAGCCACGCUUUUCUUCAUUGCUUUUGUCUCUAUGCCAAAUAGGGAUAUUUCUGAAAUUUAACUGCCUUGCUGAUUAAUUGUUACUGCAGUGAAAUUGGUGACUGUUGGAAAGGUUUUAAAUUGCUGCAAGCUUAUUGUGGGGAGCCAAACAAUUAUCAGCGGUUAUGGUGAGUUUCUUCUGAUUCUGAAUCAAAACCAAACACCUGACUCAUUCAAUUGUGAAUUUAAACUGUUAUUUCAUGUUCUACCAUUUUCUAGAGAAUUAACUCUGAUCAAAACACUUGUCCCAAUCAACAGAAAUUUGCACGCAGCUGAUACUGCAAAAGAAGGAGAAUUAUGCUCUUGCAAUUGGAGUACCGUUGAGAGUAAAGGUACUGAGAGUAUGUUGAAAUUGAGGUUUUAGAGUUGGAUUGUUCAUCAUUUUUAAGCUUUUCCACAUCAAUACUACCAUUAUCAUCAUCAUCAUCCAAAUUCAAGGCUUCAGCUUUAUGGUUGCAUGUAUCAUCUGUUUUCCAUUUUAUCUGUAACUGCCUUUGCAUUAGGAUGAGAGCAAUCGUUGAAAUUGUCUUUCCAAGGCCCUGAUCGUCAGCCAAAAUCCCCCCCAAGCAAUGCAAACUCCUGUUUUCCUUCUGAAGCAUCCAAGCCAAUGCAAUUUUCUGAUGUCUCAUAAGAGGGACAGCCAUUAUACCAGCAGGUAAAUCGGCUUCUUUUAAUGGUUGACUGAUAUCCUGUAAUGCUGCUUCAUAAAUUAGUCUCUCAUCAGUUUCAGGAGCCCUCUCAUCCCCUACUCCAGAACGGUAUGCUGAU
rnacentral:lncRNA from 1 species